GAAUGACAUCUGGCUACAACACCCCCCAACCAGGUGAUUCUAGAUUGAUUUGGCUCACCUGGAUGGCUAAAGGGUGUCCUUCAUCUCACAUUGUUCCAAGUAGAGCCCUUCAAAAGCUGAGAAUUUGGUCAAAAAGGGAAAGCCUUCCAAAUAGAGGAGCACCUGUCUUUAGUCAGAAAAUAGGAUUUGGGUAAGUGGAGGUGAGAGAGAAACUUCCUUUGCUGGAGGAGACCCAGGCACACAGAGGGAAUGAGUAGAACAUACUGAAGCCGCUGAGUAAACGAGGCUGUCA
rnacentral:sRNA from 1 species